rnacentral:rRNA from 1 species
CAGGCUUAACACAUGCAAGUCGAGGGGCAGCAUUUUAGUUUGCCUGCAAACUAAAGAUGGCGACCGGCGCACGGGUGAGUAACACGUAUCCAACCUGCCGAUAACUCGGGGAUAGCCUUUCGAAAGAAAGAUUAAUAUCCGAUAGUAUAUUAAAACCGCAUGGUUUUACUAUUAAAGAAUUUCGGUUAUCGAUGGGGAUGCGUUCCAUUAGUUUGUUGGCGGGGUAACGGCCCACCAAGACUACGAUGGAUAGGGGUUCUGAGAGGAAGGUCCCCCACAUUGGAACUGAGACACGGUCCAAACUCCUACGGGAGGCAGCAGUGAGGAAUAUUGGUCAAUGGACGAGAGUCUGAACCAGCCAAGUAGCGUGAAGGAUGACUGCCCUAUGGGUUGUAAACUUCUUUUAUAUGGGAAUAAAGUAUUCCACGUGUGGGAUUUUGUAUGUACCAUAUGAAUAAGGAUCGGCUAACUCCGUGCCAGCAGCCGCGGUAAUACGGAGGAUCCGAGCGUUAUCCGGAUUUAUUGGGUUUAAAGGGAGCGUAGGUGGAUUGUUAAGUCAGUUGUGAAAGUUUGCGGCUCAACCGUAAAAUUGCAGUUGAAACUGGCAGUCUUGAGUACAGUAGAGGUGGGCGGAAUUCGUGGUGUAGCGGUGAAAUGCUUAGAUAUCACGAAGAACUCCGAUUGCGAAGGCAGCUCACUAGACUGCAACUGACACUGAUGCUCGAAAGUGUGGGUAUCAAACAGGAUUAGAUACCCUGGUAGUCCACACAGUAAACGAUGAAUACUCGCUGUUUGCGAUAUACAGUAAGCGGCCAAGCGAAAGCAUUAAGUAUUCCACCUGGGGAGUACGCCGGCAACGGUGAAACUCAAAGGAAUUGACGGGGGCCCGCACAAGCGGAGGAACAUGUGGUUUAAUUCGAUGAUACGCGAGGAACCUUACCCGGGCUUAAAUUGCAUUUGAAUAAUCUGGAAACAGGUUAGCCGCAAGGCAAAUGUGAAGGUGCUGCAUGGUUGUCGUCAGCUCGUGCCGUGAGGUGUCGGCUUAAGUGCCAUAACGAGCGCAACCCUUAUCUUUAGUUACUAACAGGUCAUGCUGAGGACUCUAGAGAGACUGCCGUCGUAAGAUGUGAGGAAGGUGGGGAUGACGUCAAAUCAGCACGGCCCUUACGUCCGGGGCUACACACGUGUUACAAUGGGGGGUACAGAAGGCAGCUACCUGGCGACAGGAUGCUAAUCCCAAAAACCUCUCUCAGUUCGGAUCGAAGUCUGCAACCCGACUUCGUGAAGCUGGAUUCGCUAGUAAUCGCGCAUCAGCCAUGGCGCGGUGAAUACGUUCCCGGGCCUUGUACACACCGCCCGUCAAGCCAUGAAAGCCGGGGGUACCUGAAGUACGUAACCGCAAGGAGCGUCCUAGGGUAAAACUGGUAAUUGGGGCUAAGUCAUAACA